ensembl:snRNA U1 U1 spliceosomal RNA
AGACUGUCCUGGAAGGGGAGAUACCAUGAUCACGAAGGUGGCUUUUCCAUGGCGAGACGUAGCCAUUGCGCUCCAGGUGUCCUGACCCCUGGGAUUUCCCCAAAUGUGGGAAACUCGACUGCGUAAUUUAUGGUGGUAAGGGACCGCUUUCACUCACGCUUUCCCCUG